AAUUCCCUGAUUCCCUUAGCCCUGAUCAGGUUAAGGCACUUGAGGCCAUCCUGCCUCCAAAACCAACCUCUCAGUUGAGUGAUAUGGAGCUAGAUGAGUGUGAGGAGACCACGCUCUAUGAUGUGAACAUUGAAGAGGAGAUGAGGAGGAAGCAGCAGCAGGCAGCGCAGGAAGCUUAUGAGGAAGAUGAAGAUAUGCAUGGCGGUGCCCAGAGGGUGCAGUGUGCCCAGCAAUGAUGAUGAAGCAAAAAAGAAGAUAUAUGGUUUCAAAAGUAUUCUCGAGGAUACAGAAAGCUGGUUUCUCUAGUAAUGUAGAGUGGCAAAGCAUGUCUUGCUCAGGUGGUGG
rnacentral:lncRNA from 1 species